GGGUCGGUGCUCGAGCGGUUAAUGGGGACGGAUUGUAAAUCCGCUGGCAAUGCCUACGCUGGUUCGAAUCCAGCCCGACCCA
rfam:Selaginella moellendorffii unplaced genomic scaffold SELMOscaffold_635, whole genome shotgun sequence.